AAAUGGAAGCUCAAAUGACAUAUAUACAUGUGACUACAUGUGUACAAAAUAUUGGAACAAAAUUCAAAUGGGAGAAUUAAAAAUCAAAUCUUAACAAAUAAAAUUAGGUUAAUUAGACAUAAUUAUAUACAAAAAUAAAAACAAUUAAUAAAAUAAAUCAAAAAUCAAAAAUAAAAAUAUGGAAAAAUAAAUAAAACUCAAAAGAUCACUCAUGAAUUAAUUGGAUAUUUUUAGAUUAGUGGGGGUAUUUUAAAU
rnacentral:lncRNA from 1 species